rnacentral:rRNA from 1 species
GAUGAACGCUAGCGGCAGGCUUAAUACAUGCAAGUCGAACGGGAUUGAGAAGCUUGCUUUUCAUGAGAGUGGCGCACGGGUGCGUAACACGUAUGCAACCUACCUUGUCCAGGGGGAUAGCCCGUUGAAAGACGGAUUAAGACCGCAUAACAUUGAGCUGUGGCAUCACAAAUCAAUCAAAUAUUUAUAGGGACAAGAUGGGCACGCGCCUGAUUAGGUAGUUGGCGGGGUAAUGGCCCACCAAGCCGAAUAUCAGUAGGGGAUCGUAGAGGAUGACCCCCCACACUGGUACUGAGACACGGACCAGACUCCUCCGGGAGGCAGCAGUAAGGAAUAUGGGUCAAUGGGCGAACGCCUGAACCGACCAUGCCGCGUGCAGGAAGACGGCCCUACGGGUUGUAAACUGCUUUUAUACGGGAAUAACCCCGGUUUCGUGAAACCGGCUGAAUGUACCGUAAGAAUAAGGAUCGGCUAACUCCGUGCCAGCCGCCGCCGUAA